rnacentral:tRNA from 1 species
GUGCGGCUAUAGUACGUUUCGGACCCAACGCUUUACUGAAGCGUUGGGCCAGCGAUUCGGCACCACCGGAAUGUUCGAUCAUUCUGCCGAGCA